rnacentral:rRNA from 1 species
ACAAUGAAGAGUUUGAUCCUGGCUCAGGAUGAACGCUAGCUACAGGCUUAACACAUGCAAGUCGAGGGGCAUCAGGAAGAAAGCUUGCUUUCUUUGCUGGCGACCGGCGCACGGGUGAGUAACACGUAUCCAACCUGCCCUUUACUCGGGGAUAGCCUUUCGAAAGAAAGAUUAAUACCCGAUAGCAUAAUGAUUCCGCAUGGUUUCAUUAUUAAAGGAUUCCGGUAAAGGAUGGGGAUGCGUUCCAUUAGGUUGUUGGUGAGGUAACGGCCCACCAAGCCUUCGAUGGAUAGGGGUUCUGAGAGGAAGGUCCCCCACAUUGGAACUGAGACACGGUCCAAACUCCUACGGGAGGCAGCAGUGAGGAAUAUUGGUCAAUGGGCGCUAGCCUGAACCAGCCAAGUAGCGUGAAGGAUGAAGGCUCUAUGGGUCGUAAACUUCUUUUAUAUAAGAAUAAAGUGCAGUAUGUAUACUGUUUUGUAUGUAUUAUAUGAAUAAGGAUCGGCUAACUCCGUGCCAGCAGCCGCGGUAAUACGGAGGAUCCGAGCGUUAUCCGGAUUUAUUGGGUUUAAAGGGAGCGUAGGUGGACUGGUAAGUCAGUUGUGAAAGUUUGCGGCUCAACCGUAAAAUUGCAGUUGAUACUGUCAGUCUUGAGUACAGUAGAGGUGGGCGGAAUUCGUGGUGUAGCGGUGAAAUGCUUAGAUAUCACGAAGAACUCCGAUUGCGAAGGCAGCUCACUGGACUGCAACUGACACUGAUGCUCGAAAGUGUGGGUAUCAAACAGGAUUAGAUACCCUGGUAGUCCACACAGUAAACGAUGAAUACUCGCUGUUUGCGAUAUACAGUAAGCGGCCAAGCGAAAGCAUUAAGUAUUCCACCUGGGGAGUACGCCGGCAACGGUGAAACUCAAAGGAAUUGACGGGGGCCCGCACAAGCGGAGGAACAUGUGGUUUAAUUCGAUGAUACGCGAGGAACCUUACCCGGGCUUAAAUUGCAGUGGAAUGAUGUGGAAACAUGUCAGUGAGCAAUCACCGCUGUGAAGGUGCUGCAUGGUUGUCGUCAGCUCGUGCCGUGAGGUGUCGGCUUAAGUGCCAUAACGAGCGCAACCCUUAUCUUUAGUUACUAACAGGUUAUGCUGAGGACUCUGGAGAGACUGCCGUCGUAAGAUGUGAGGAAGGUGGGGAUGACGUCAAAUCAGCACGGCCCUUACGUCCGGGGCUACACACGUGUUACAAUGGGGGGUACAGAAGGCAGCUAGCGGGUGACCGUAUGCUAAUCCCAAAAGCCUCUCUCAGUUCGGAUCGAAGUCUGCAACCCGACUUCGUGAAGCUGGAUUCGCUAGUAAUCGCGCAUCAGCCACGGCGCGGUGAAUACGUUCCCGGGCCUUGUACACACCGCCCGUCAAGCCAUGGGAGCCGGGGGUACCUGAAGUACGUAACCGCAAGGAUCGUCCUAGGGUAAAACUGGUGACUGGGGCUAAGUCGUAACAAGGUAGCCGUACCGGAAGGUGCGGCUGGAACACCUCCUUU